rnacentral:misc_RNA from 1 species
CCAAAAGAAAAGGAUCAUCUCAUAAAACAAAAAGUUCAUUACAGGUACAAAAUAUGCUAAAAAGAAGGGACAUUUUGCAACACAUAUAAAGAAAUCUUUAAUAGACCUCAAUUAUUCACCCAGACAAAUACAUCACAAGCAAAUCUCAAAAAUUCCAACAUAUUAACUCACCCAAUGUCCCUUCUAAUCUUUUAUUUUUAUCACCCAGGAAAAAAAAAAAGUCAAGUUUUAAUUAUAAUAUUAGCUAUUCACUAUUGCACAGUGCUUCCUAAUCUCCCCAACAGUUCCAGUUUUAACAUUUAUUUUGAUCAUUUUCUCCAUGGAGUUGGCAAAUUCAGCAAAGAAAUCCUCAACUGAACCACUGAGAAGCUGGUUGAUGAGAGACAAAGAAACAGAGUCAGUGAUCAAGGCAGCAUCUGAUUCAAAAAGGCCUCUUCUUUUAACCAGGAGUGAGUAGUAGCUAAGAUCAAAUGUAUUUCUACUUCCAGGAUCCAUCUCAACCUUGGUGGUAUUAUCAUCAGGACUUUUGCACUUGUUUUCCUUGAGAUUUGCAACAUACUCACUGUCUAGGCUAGGAUCUGGCAGACCAGUCCCACUGAAGUUGUAUAAACGGUCAGAAAAUGAUGAACAAUGGGCAAUCCCAAUUGUGUGAGCACCAGAGAGCAAAACCAGGUCUUUCAAAUCAAGGCCUUGGUUGGCAAAUUGAGUCUGAAGAGUGGUGAAGUUUGCAAAGAAAGGUGGGAUGUUGGCCAUGGCAUCAGACAACCUUGAUGUCACACCAUCUCUUCUACCAGUUGGAACUUUCCAGAAGGGACCUCCUGUAGCCACAAUAGAGUCCCUUGAAACCAAAGCAAGAAUAUCUGCACAGGAAACUACUCCAGGACAUUCAGCCUCAAGAAGGCUUUUCACUCUGUCUAUGAAGUCAAAUCCUCUGAUUGUUAGAUUUGGAGCAGCUUCUUUUUCAGGUUUUUCGCCGGAGCUCGAUGAUGAGUUCAAAAGCACUGAUGCAUCACAACCCCUGACGAAGCAAUCAUGGAAGUUCAUUCUUAUGAAGGAUGCAGCUAAUGAUGGGGCAUUAUGGAUGUGUUUGUUGACAAAAUCAUGCACAAUCUUCUCAGCUUUUGGGCAGCUCUUAGCAUAAAAACCCAUCUGCAAUUGAGCUUCAGUUGAUGAACCCAUAAAUGCUAAAAUACCAAAUAUUAUCAUACCAAAAUAACCAAUGACUCCCAUUUUGAUAAUGAUAUUACUAUACACAGAAGCAAAAAGGGAUAGAUACUAGCUAGUCAGCUAGAGAAGAGAAUGCUGCACUAAAUUGGAAUGCGUGAAUUAUGAUAGAGAACUUAUAGACAUAGAUUUGAGCUACACGAUAAGAAAGAAGAUGCUAAAACAAGACAUCUAG